GUUCUUAGAUCUCACAACAAGAUACUAAGAUAAGAGUGUUACAUUUAAAAAGACAACCUUUUAAAACUCGGAUGCACAAAAGUGUAAUAACAUUCUGGAGACAUUAAAUAGAUCCCAAUACGAUCUUAUAUCUUCAGAAAAGUGAGACAAAUUGUAAGCUGAUAAGAACAAAAGUCUACCAGCAACUUGACAGGCGCAUCAAAACUAUUCAAAGAUGUCCUGCAAGAGAAAAACUCAAACUAAUAGAAAAGUAUCGAAAAGACUCAAAACA
rnacentral:sRNA from 1 species